rnacentral:misc_RNA from 1 species
GAAAUGCGAUAAGUAAUGUGAAUUGCAGAAUUCAGUGAAUCAUCGAAUCUUUGAACGCACCUUGCGCCCCUUGGUAUUCCGAGGGGCAUGCCUGUUUGAGUGUCUUGAAAUCAUCAGGCCCGCCGGGUUCUUGCAAUCCGUCGGGCUUGGAGUUGGGGGUCUUGCUGCCUCGCGGCGGCUCCCCUUGAAUGCAUCGGCUGGGCCUCUGGGGUUCCUGCUCUCGGGCGUUGUAUCAACCUCGCUUGCGGCAGACCCUGGCUUUGCGCGUCCGGCUUUGACCUGCCUCUGGAGCGGCGGUCGACCGUUGAAAUCUGACCUCAAAUCAGGUAGGACUACCCGCUGAACUUAA